rnacentral:rRNA from 1 species
AGAGUUUGAUCAUGGCUCAGGACGAACGCUGGCGGCGUGCCUAAUACAUGCAAGUAGAACGCUGACUACUUUAGCUUGCUAGAGUAGAAGGAGUUGCGAACGGGCGAGUAACGCGUAGGUAACCUGCCUACUAGCGGGGGAUAACUAUUGGAAACGAUAGCUAAUACCGCAUAACAGUGUUUAACACAUGUUAGAUGCUUGAAAGAUGCAAAUGCAUCACUAGUAGAUGGACCUGCGUUGUAUUAGCUAGUUGGUGGGGUAACGGCCUACCAAGGCGACGAUACAUAGCCGACCUGAGAGGGUGAUCGGCCACACUGGGACUGAGACACGGCCCAGACUCCUACGGGAGGCAGCAGUAGGGAAUCUUCGGCAAUGGGGGCAACCCUGACCGAGCAACGCCGCGUGAGUGAAGAAGGUUUUCGGAUCGUAAAGCUCUGUUGUAAGAGAAGAACGUGUGUGAGAGUGGAAAGUUCACACAGUGACGGUAACUUACCAGAAAGGGACGGCUAACUACGUGCCAGCAGCCGCGGUAAUACGUAGGUCCCGAGCGUUGUCCGGAUUUAUUGGGCGUAAAGCGAGCGCAGGCGGUUUAAUAAGUCUGAAGUUAAAGGCAGUGGCUUAACCAUUGUUCGCUUUGGAAACUGUUAAACUUGAGUGCAGAAGGGGAGAGUGGAAUUCCAUGUGUAGCGGUGAAAUGCGUAGAUAUAUGGAGGAACACCGGUGGCGAAAGCGGCUCUCUGGUCUGUAACUGACGCUGAGGCUCGAAAGCGUGGGGAGCAAACAGGAUUAGAUACCCUGGUAGUCCACGCCGUAAACGAUGAGUGCUAGGUGUUAGGCCCUUUCCGGGGCUUAGUGCCGCAGCU